rnacentral:lncRNA from 1 species
UUUUCCUGCCUGCUGGGUAUAUCUGGUUAAUCUUUGUGGCAAUUGACUCACUAGAAGAAGAAAGUUCCAGCUCCAGAUGGUCUUAAAUACAAACAAAACAGCUAUCUGAAUAAAAAUUGCAUCAUGGUCUUGUCCAAUGGGUGCAGAAAAAUGACAAACCCUUCAAAGAGCUGACAUCUUAUUACACAAAUACAUUUUUAUCUGGCUUUUGGAUAAAAUUGACCUCAGGAGCAUUGCUUUCACAGCAAGAGAAGAACUUUGUCUAGACAUUAUAAAACUCAUCAUAUUUUAAUAGUUGUUGGGAAAAAACCUCAAUCCUCCUGGAAAUAAGCUGAUUCUUGUGCUGAAGGCUUUCCAUCAAGUAAUUCAGAGAUCAGCUAUGGAAUGCCUUCAUCAUCUCCUAAUAUAAUUGACUAAUUGGUCAACUGGUUAAUUAGCAACAAUAAUAACACCUAACAUUUUAUUAUGUAUUAUUCUGUGCCAGACACUAUGCUAAAUGUUUUGUUUACAUUAUUUCAUUUGAUCUGCACUGUAGCACAUAAGGUAGAAACUAUUUUACUUCUAUUUUAUACAUAAGGAAACCUAACUUGCCAAAACUCACUUGGCUAAGAAGGGGGUGGACUGGGUAUGGUAGAGACCCUAAUACUUCUCUUUGUUGGCUCUUCCUUCCUUCCUGGCAAUGUGGAAAAACUAUACUACCCAAACUCUGGUCGUUAGGCAAAGCCAUAAGACUUUUCUAGCCAAUGAAACUUGGAUGAAAAUGGUGGGAGACACACAGAGGCCAAAGCAUUCAAAUGCUGGUGUGUCAAUUUUACAGUAACCUUUUCCCUUGCCUUGGCACAUCUGCAAGGCACAUAUUGAUAGCAAUAUCUUAAGUUGGAAAGAACCUGAAUUCCUGAGACACUGAAUGAGGAAAACCAUUACUGAUUUUACAUAAAAUAUAAAUAAGCUUGCAAUAUGUUAAGCCACUGAUAUUUUAAGAUUAACUAAUUCCUGCAGGUAUAAAUUAGUAUAAACCCAACUAAUAUAUCACGUUAGAACAUUGGGCACACUUCAGAGCCCAAAGCAUUAUGUGAUAUCUUCUAGACCAUUUACUACAUGUCUGCUAAGAACCCAGUCCCAAAGUUAGUCUUUUAAUAAUAUUUAAGAUAUGAUUGAAUAGGAAUAUAGAAUGCAUCACCUCUCAGAAAGUAGACAAAAAGUGGUUAAUAGAACUCUUUGUGUGGUAUUACUGGAGUCCAU